GCCCCCGUCAUGGCGCCCGAGGAGAACGCGGGGAGCGAACUCUUGCUGCAGAGUUUCAAGCGCCGCUUCCUGGCAGCGCGCGCCCUGCGCUCCUUCCGCUGGCAGAGCUUAGAAGCAAAGUUAAGAGACUCAUCAGAUUCUGAGCUGCUGCGGGAUAUUUUGCAGAAGCACGAGGCUGUCCACACAGAGCCUUUGGAUGAGCUGUACGAGGUGCUGGUGGAGACCCUGAUGGCCAAGGAGUCCACCCAGGGCCACCGGAGCUAUUUGCUGACGUGCUGUAUUGCCCAGAAGCCAUCGUGUCGCUGGUCGGGGUCCUGCGGAGGCUGGCUGCCUGCCGGGAGCACCAGCGGGCUCCUCAAUUCUACAUGGCCCUUACCGUCUGCAACCCAGAGAUGUGCCAGCUGUUCACCACCGAGCUAUGUGAGCCCCCACGCCCACCCGGGCCUGCAUGGUCCCCAAGCUGUCCCUACAGGACUCCAGUGGAAGUGAAAGAACUGGGGGCCGGGGAAAAGCUAGGAUGCCCCACACUCCCACACCAUGCGGGGAACUAGGGCAGAGGCCGGCUGGACUGGGAUCAGAUGGGAAGCGGAAGCUCAUCAUGACCAGAAACUGUUUCCCUACAGAGAGCACUUGGAGAUGGCAAAGCUGAACCUCACACUGUAGGACUCACACAUGACUCCAACGGGAUUGUGAGAAUUAAGUCACUCUCGUGGGAAGAAUUUUUAUAUGGGAAAGCGGAUAAAACUUUCAUUGGACUGGAAUGUUUGGAGAAUGUUAAAUUCCAAAUCAGGAACCACAAACUGCGCUCUAAUAAGACAUCGGCUAUCUAAGCAUGUGGGUUCCCCCUUUCUGCCAGCAGUUCUGGUUCUUAAGAAAAUCACCAUAAAUCAGACAUGAAAAUUCUGGCUCCAAAAAUAGCAUUUUCAUUGUGCAAAUAAAAACGUGUGUAUCAAGUAUGACAUUCCCCCAA
rnacentral:lncRNA from 1 species